UGUGUCCUGGCCGGAUCCUUGCUCCUUUGGCUCUUACUGCCUGUGGCUGAAGGCUAGCUGAAGGACUUUUACUCUCAAGUAUCUGUCAGGACAAGCAUCCUAUAAGAGAUGUGGGGGUCCCGUGGCUUGGCUUUUCCUGUCUAUUUUUUUUCCCUCCUCUCUUAGUAAUUCCGGGGAAAGGAGCAACAGCUGUGAGUUACUUUGUGAACGCCUUUCCCUUUGUUUUUGCUUUGCUUGCUGGUGAGCCAUGGUGGGAACUGAAAAGCGAGAGAGGGUGGAGAAGAUCUGGAGGGGUGAACUAAAGGGAAAAUGACCUCAUAAAUCCCAGGCUCUCCAGAUGAAAUUAUGGCUGCCAUGGUGAUUUUACACUCAAGGGCUCGGUGAGUUGCAACAACAGGGCAGCCUUAUGCGUAAAAGCGCUCAGUCAACUGGGUACCAGAGUCAAAGGAACGGAUUGCUUUGAAGUUUUCAUAGGAAGCCAUACACAGUGAUUGAGGGCCAGGAGGCUGCCCGGCACAGAGCUGUGCACCAGGCACAAUCAGGAGCACUUCCAGCAGACAGCCUGAGGGUCAGCUUAAAAUCUCCUUCUGUGUCGCUUCAAUCUUUUAUUUCUUCUGUACAGCCCAUCCUUUAUGGUAAGUGGUGAUUUUUUUUUCCUCAAGGUCCUACUUUUUGUAUUUCCUUUUGGAAAAGACAGGUCUGGGGAUGUGGCCCAGUUGGUGGACUAUGUACAUGAAGUCCCGGGUUCCAUCCCCAGCAUUGCGUGAGCCUUUCAAGAUGGACUGUGCCUGUGAUCCAAGAAGUAAAAGGAGGCAGGCGGCUCAGAAGUUCAAGGAGGGGCUAGAAAGAGCCUCAGCAGUUGGGAGCAAGUACUGCUCUUGCCGAGGACCCACACCAGGUGGCUCAAACCUUCUGUGACUCUAGCUCCAGACAGUCUGGCUUCCUCAGCUACCAGGACUCACAUGCACACAGACACACAGACAGAAUUAAAAUAAAAUAAAUAUCUUUUAGAUAUUUUUUAAGUUUAAGGCAAGCCUGCCUGAGACUCGUGGUCUAAAAAUAAAAUAAAAACCAAGUACUAAUAGGUUACAUAUACUUACUAUCUUGAAUCUUUUCUAAAACCCGUAGGGAAGUAUGAUUAUCUUUAAGAGCACUGGCUACUCUUCCAGAGGACCUAGAUUCAAGUCCCAGCACCCAUAUGGCAGCUCUCAGCAGUCUAUAACUCCCCAUUCCAGCAAGGAGAUUCAAAGGCAUUAAAGACCAGAGAAGAGCGCAGGAAAGACUGGCAUUUGUCAGAGAGGCACCUGAACUUACUUAAUGCAGGAUUUCUUUCUUUCUUUUUUUUUCUUUCUUUCCUUUUUUGGUUUUUCAAGACAGGGUUUCUCUGUGUAGCCCUGGCUGUCCUAGAACUCACUCUGUAGACCUGGUGGCUGGCCUCAAACUCAGAAAUCCGCCUGCCUCUGCCUCCCGAGUGCUGGGAUUAAAGGCGUGCGCCACCACACCCGGCUUAAUGCAGGAUUUCUUACCACAGCACAGGUACGGGAAAUGACCAGUGUGCGUGUCCACAGGUGAAUGGAUGAAAGUGUGCCAUCCACACGGGGAAGUGCGGUGACAGAAGCCAGGGUCAGGAGUGCUGUAUGACCUCAUUUAUAUGUGCACAGUGGCUGAGUGGGACUCCUAACUGGGAAUAGAAAGGUGGUUUCCAGACAGUGGAGUUUGGGAAAGUGGAGUGAUAUUGUUCAAGAAGUACCAUUUUGGUUACCGAAUGAGUAGAUUCUGGGGGUCUAACACGCAGCAUCAGGACUAACACACCAGGAACGCUGCUGUCUACCUCAAGGGCUCUCAAGUAGUACAUCUUUUUAAUAAACAUUAUUUAAUUUU
rnacentral:lncRNA from 1 species